rnacentral:lncRNA from 1 species
UUUUGACUUUGUACCAGCGACUCCACUAUUAUUAUAAGAUAUUCUCCAAUUUUUAGUGAAAAAGAAAAACAAAAAGAAUACAAGAAAAAUGAGUAAACAAUAAAAAAAGAAUUAAUAAAAGAAUUGAUUCAUAUUGAUAUAGAUAGGAAAAAAAGAAAAACAAAAAGAAUACAAGAAAAAUGAGUAAACAAUAAAAAAAGAAUUAAUAAAAGAAUUGAUUCAUAUUGAUAUAGAUAGGAGACAUAAUUAACAUGGAUAUAGU